AGAGUUUGAUCAUGGCUCAGAACAAACGCUGGCGGCGUGCCUAACACAUGCAAGUCGUACGAGAAAGGGUCCUUCGGGGCCUGAGUAAAGUGGCGCACGGGUGAGUAACGCGUGGAUAAUCUGCCCUUCAGUUGGGAAUAACUCAUCGAAAGGUGGGCUAAUACCGAAUGAUACUGCGAGACUUUGGUCGAACAGUCAAAGAGAGCCUCUGUUUGCAAGCCCUCGCUGAAGGAUGAGUCCGCGUACCAUUAGCUAGUUGGUAGGGUAACGGCCUACCAAGGCGACGAUGGUUAGCUGGUCUGAGAGGAUGAUCAGCCACACUGGAACUGAGACACGGUCCAGACUCCUACGGGAGGCAGCAGUGAGGAAUCUUGCGCAAUGGGGGAAACCCUGACGCAGCAACGCCGCGUGAGUGAGGAAGGUCUUCGGAUCGUAAAGCUCUGUCAGAUGGAAAGAACCGCACGGGGAUAAACAGUCCCUGUGUCUGACGGUACCAUCAGAGGAAGCACCGGCUAACUCCGUGCCGGCAGCCGCGGUAAUACGGGGGGUGCAAGCGUUGUUCGGAAUUAUUGGGCGUAAAGAGCGUGUAGGCGGCCGGAUGUGUCAGAUGUGAAAGCCCUGGGCUCAACCCAGGAAGUGCAUUUGAAACUAUCCGGCUUGAGUAGGGGAGAGGGAAGUGGAAUUCCUGGUGUAGAGGUGAAAUUCGUAGAUAUCAGGAGGAACACCGGUGGCGAAGGCGACUUCCUGGCCCUAUACUGACGCUGAGACGCGAGAGCGUGGGUAGCAAACAGGAUUAGAUACCCUGGUAGUCCACGCCGUAAACGAUGUUCACUAGGUGUUGGGGGGUAUUGACCCCCUCAGUGCCGGAGCUAACGCAUUAAGUGAACCGCCUGGGGAGUACGGUCGCAAGACUAAAACUCAAAUGAAUUGACGG
rnacentral:rRNA from 1 species